rnacentral:lncRNA from 1 species
CUCCCCGGUAGGUCAUUCUUCCCCUGUAGGUUCAUUCUUCCCUGGUAGGUCAUUCUCCCUGUAGGUCAUUCUUCCCGGUAGGUCAUUCUUCCCCUGUAGGUCAUUCUUCCCCUAUAGGUCAUUCUUCCCUGGUAGGUCAUUCUUCCCCUGUAGGUCAUUCUUCCCCGGUAGGUCCUCAUUGUAAAUAAAGAUUGGUUCUUGACCUGACUUGCCUGGUUAAAUUAAGAUAAAAGAGAGGAUCAGAACUAUAUUCA